UACCAUCCAGAACUUUCAAGGGCCACCAAUC
rnacentral:piRNA from 1 species